GGGGGGGGGGUGACAAUAAUCAAACCCAAAACACAUCAAAUAGGAACAAACUACCCAUUGUUCCCAGAAUAAGGAGGCAUUUACUUGAACUGGCCCAAUUUUUGGUUAAAUUUCAAUUCUCAUAACAUUGUUCCUGCCAUCACUAGUUAUUAGUAGUUAUUAGGAAAUAUGCUAAAUCGUGUUGACAUUUGAUUGCACUAAACAUAGCAAAUUAUUUUGAUUGUAGACAGGCCCUGGAGUUCAUUCUUGUCCACUACACUAAUUUGUGUUCUUGCUCGCAAUUGGACAGAUAUACAAAUGAUAAAAUAUCAUUAGUCUUCAAAUAUAUCCUUAUUAAACAUGACUCAUUCAUUUAUUGUACAUCAUACAGAUCUCCUCUUCGACUUUGGUAUUGAAACAAUAAGAUUUUGCUUUGUUGUUCCACUCACCAACUGAGAUGGUAGCCUACUUAUUGGGUCUUGAUGCCCCCCUGUGUACUUCAAAAGAACUGCAUCCCCUGCAUCCAGAGUAACCCCAGUCGCCAUAGUCAUCCCAGUCACCCCAAUUACCCCAGUCACCCCAGUCAGUUCAUUGUAAAUUGAAAGGCCUAAUACUACUGUAGCUGGUCUUGCUGAACAAGAAAUAAAUAGCAGCAGCUAGCUUUUAAUGACAUUCUCAAAUUAAGAUAAGAGGUCAAAAAUGAGAAGAGACCUACUAAAGCAUGUAUACAGGUAUAACACUUACAAAGGUGACAUACAUGUUUUCUCAGCCCAAGCAGCCGAACUGUCAUCCAUGGAGGCCAGAGGGACAGUUUUAUUAGUGGUUUUCAUUAAGUCUUAUUAAUGGUAUGUAUGGGAUACAUUGCCCAACGAAAUGCCUUCUUGCAGGUUCCUUCUCGACAAUGCAACAAUAAUGAGAAAUAGUAAAAGAUAAGAAUACGAACAUAAAGUAAAUGCUUUAGUAGAAUAGAUUAAACAUUGUAGCAUAAGCAUAAUACAGGAAGGCACAAUUUAUUGUCCAAUAUUUACAUGGGUUUUGGGGAUGGGGGGUAAGUGUAUAAAUUGAGCCGUAUAAUAAGAGUCUGGUAGCAGCAGUUGUGAUUGUGUGUGUAGCAUGAAUGUAUAUGUGUGUGUGUGUGUGUGCGUCUGUGUGAAUGAGUGCAUGAGUGAGUGCAUGUAUGCUAAGGUGUGGAGAAUCAGAGCAGGUGAUCAGUCCAGUUCAAGAGUGUUCAACAAUCUGAUGGCUUGUAGAUAGAAACUGUUGGUGUCAAACCUCAUGCUCCGAUACCAUCUGCCUGACGUUAAGGGAGAGAACAACCCGUGGCUGGGGUGUUUAGGAUCCUUGAUGAUGCUCCGUGCCUUUCUCAGGCACCGUUUAGAGUAGUUGUCCUGGAUGGGUGGGAGCAUGGUUCCCAGUGAAUUACUGGGCCGUCUUCACUGCCCGCUGGAGGGCCUUGCAGUCAUGGAUGGAGCAAUUCCGGUACCAGGCUGUGAUGCAACCGGUCAGGAUGCUAUCGAUGGUACAGCGGUAAUAUUUGGAGAGGACUCGGGGCAGCAUGCCACAUUUCUUCAGCCGCCUUAGGAAGUAGAGACUCUGUUGCGCCCUGUUGACCAAAGUGGAGGUGGUCCAUGACAAGUCUCUGUGAUGUGGAUGCUGAGGAACUUAAAACUCAUGACUCUCUACUGCAGUCCCAUUGAUGUGGAUCGGGCGUGUUCCCUCCUCUUCUUCCUGAAGUCAACAAUCAACUCCUUUGUUUUGUUGACGUUGAGUGAGAGGUUGUUGUCAUGUCACCACAAUGCCAGUUCACUCAGCUCCUCCCUAUAGGCUGACUCGUUGUUGUUGGUUAUCAGGCCUACAACCGGGGUUUUGUUCAGCAAACUUGAUGAUGGAGUUGGUGUCGUGCAAAGCCACGCAGUCAUGGGUGAACAUGGAGUACAGCAGAGGAUAGUCAUUUGGGCACGUCACGAGAGCCAGUGAGAGCCAGGCGAAAGAGCUGAAGAGAGAGAAUGCAGCAGAACUGUCAGCCAUGGGGGUCAGAGUGACAGCCAGUGAAGGGAGGUGGAGGAGCUGAUGAGAGAGAAUAAAGGUGUCUUCAAAGCACCAGUUAGAGGAGUCUACUACUUCAGGGUCAGUGCCAUGGACAAGCGCUAAUCGCAAUACCUGAGAGUAUACUUGUUCAAGAUUGACCAGAGUAUAAUGUGGCCUCAUCAGUGGAACAGUCACAGAAAUGUUGUGAGUGUAUCCAAUGGAGUGAUUCUAGAGAUAGAGGGAGACUUGGUCUACAUGCGCCUCCCCUCAAGCUUCAGUCUCUAUGGUGAUAGCGAUAACGGCUGUUUAUUCAGUGGUUUCCUGUUCUUCCCAAUGUGAGGGGAACACCAUAAACAGUGUUGAGCCAAAAUGAUAUCUAGUCAUCGGUUACUCUGAGCUCCAUUGUUUCUAUUUU